rnacentral:sRNA from 1 species
UUUUAAUUUAAACAGACUAUUGAGUUUAAUGUUUGUGAAAUUUUCAAUGUUGGGUAACAAUGCAUUGACAGAUGCAUGUCUGUUUCGACAACUUUUGGUUUCAUCGCGUGUAAGGCCUAUAAUUAAUCAAUGUGUUUUUCAUCGGCGUAUCCGUUGUGUUGCUUAGAAAGAGUUGGUCGCCUACAACAAUCGCAGAGAACGCCGACGGUAUCAAGCAUGCGUGCCCGCUUUGUUUGACUAUAAGCAAUCUAGAAACGCGUGUGUUUGUGAAAAAAUUAAAUCUUUAAGCUUUAUUUUAAGUUGUGUAUCGUUAUUUGAAAGCAAAAACAACAAAAAAACAAACAGAUACAUCACGUGCGUUGAGUAACUCCAACACAAAAUAAGCGCCCCAAAGAACCAAAAACUGUCAAAAUCCUCGCCCACAAUUGAUGAAAAAUUGGAAAAUUUACAAACAGAGGUUAAAAAAAUUAAAGAUUUCAUUUUGCAAAAGGAAGAAAAAGAUGAAGCACGGAAUAAUAUGAUUUUAGAGACCAUGACAAAUCACAAUAAAAUAAUCAGCAAUCUAUUAGCGGAAAAGAAUAUCACCUUAAAUUCGAUUGUCAAAUCGUCCCUCAGUAUGUCCUCGGAUUUCUUAUCAAAAUUCCCAAUAAAGACAGAAAAAAAUUUAAAGGCAAUGGAUGAUCUAAUUAAUGACGAAAAUAAUUUACCAAUUAUCUCUCCUUGCCGGAAAAGGUAUUGUAAAGGGGUUGACGGCCAUAAUAAAUCAAGAUUUAAUUCUUGAUUAUAAUUUCUACGGUUACCACAAGAAAAAAAGCCCUAAAAAACUACAGAAACCUAAUGGACCUUAUUGAAACUUGCCUUUAUCAUUCUGAAACUUACUUUGGUACAAAUUUUUUCACGCUACUGUAAAUACCUUAUAAUUUGUUUUUCAC